GGCCAUGAAAGUCUGGGUAUUUUCUUUGACAUGACUCACAUCUGGGAGAGACCACAAAUGUGGCAGAAGACAGAAUACCCAGAGCGGCAGAACUAUCCAGCUGAAAUCGAGAAAAUGAAGUUCAAGCCAGGUCAACAUCGUCCUUCCCUUAAAUUCCAGAAAAUCAAGCAUCGCAACUUAUCCUAAGGAGAUGUGGAAGAUAUUUGUUGCGUGCCUGCCCCUGCCAGGCAUCGUUUGGGGCAGUGGGGAGAAGCUGUGCGCCCUGCGGAGCUCUGCCUUCAGGUACAUUCGUCAGAGUGAAUGGUGGCAAGCAACAGAGCCCGAUUCUGUCUCUCACAACCGCAAAAGGGAAUUUACCGGAAGGAUAUUGGGAACACACGGAAUGGACAGUAAGCUGGAAGACCAGGCCUAGAAAGGGUCAUUGAGAAGGAAAUAAGUUAACACUCACCGAUCCCCUGUGCUGUCACCGAGCGACACUCUUGAAUCGCAGCCGUUAGCUGUCACGGCAGUCUCUCGUAGCACCGUCCCGACCUGCAGAGGUUCCUGAAC